AUCCAGCUGACGAGUCCCAAAUAAGACGAAGUGAAGUGCUUCCUGGAU
rnacentral:hammerhead_ribozyme from 1 species